CAGUAGCCACGGGAAUACAGAGGGUGCAAGCGUUAAUCGGAAUUACUGGGCGUAAAGCGCGCGUAGGUGGUUUGUUAAGUUGGAUGUGAAAUCCCCGGGCUCAACCUGGGAACUGCAUCCAAAACUGGCAAGCUAGAGUAUGGUAGAGGGUGGUGGAAUUUCCUGUGUAGCGGUGAAAUGCGUAGAUAUAGGAAGGAACACCAGUGGCGAAGGCGACCACCUGGACUGAUACUGACACUGAGGUGCGAAAGCGUGGGGAGCAAACAGGAUUAGAUACCCGGGUAGUCCCUGUCUCUUAUAC
rnacentral:rRNA from 1 species